rnacentral:rRNA from 1 species
UACGUAGGGGGCAAGCGUUGUCCGGAUUUAUUGGGCGUAAAGAGCGUGUAGGCGGUUAGGUAGGUCCGUUGUGAAAACUCGAGGCUCAACCUCGAGACGCCGAUGGAAACCAUCUGACUAGAGUCCGGAAGAGGAGAGUGGAAUUCCUGGUGUAGCGGUGAAAUGCGCAGAUAUCAGGAAGAACACCCGUGGCUAAGGCGGCUCUCUAGUACGUGACUGACGCUGAGGAGCGAAAGUGUGGGGAGCGAACAGG